UUCACACAUGAGCAAGGGGCCAGGAG
rnacentral:piRNA from 1 species